GGCCGGUGAUGCUAGAUAUAUUUGCUACUCUUGAUGGGAAACAAUCCCAUUUGAUGAUUCCUUUCCACCAAGAUCUCUGAGGCC